ensembl:misc_RNA Metazoa_SRP Metazoan signal recognition particle RNA
GCUGGGCAUGUUGGCUCAUGCCUGUAGUCCCAACUACUUGGGAGGCUGAUGCAGGAGGAUCUCUUGAGCCCAGGAGAUCUAGGCUGCAGUGAGCCAUGAUUGUGCCACUGCACUCUGGCCUGGAUGACAGAGCGAAACCUUGUCUCUG